AAAAAAAUUGCCGAAAUGCUAAAACUAAAGCCAACACAACGAGACAUCAUCCACAAGUACAAUGCUCAAGACCUUAGCCUCUUCCACGCUCACCCUCACCACGGCCACUAGCAGCGGCAGCUCCACCACCAUUACCUCACCCCUCCUCCACUUCUCAUCCUCACUCUGCAAACCUUUCCUUAAUCCUCUCUCCAAGUCCAAAUACAGGCCCCUCGGACAUCUCUCCAAACGACAUACGACUACCAUGAACCUCUUGAACAAGCUCGGCUUCGGCUCCCCCAGGGCCACACAAUCCGCAGCCGACGCGUCGAUUGCGCAGGGACCGGACGACGACGUUCCAGCCCCUGGCCAGGAGUUCGCACAGUUCGGGGCCGGUUGCUUCUGGGGGGUUGAGCUGGCCUUCCAGAGAGUUCCUGGCGUUACCAAGACCGAGGUCGGGUACACACAGGGGUUCGUGCAUAGUCCCAGCUACGAAGACGUGUGCUCGGGUACCACCAACCACUCCGAGGUCGUCAGGGUCCAGUUCGACCCCAAGGAGUACAGCUUCGACGCUCUCCUGGACGCGUUCUGGGCCAGGCAUGACCCAACCACGCUUAAUCGCCAGGGGAAUGAUGUGGGGACGCAGUACAGAUCCGGUAUAUACUUCUACACGCCUGAGCAAGAGAAGGCAGCAAGAGAGUCUCUGGAGCGUCAGCAGAAGCUCUUGAACAGGAAGAUCGUGACUGAGAUUCUGCCUGCCAAGAAGUUUUACCGAGCAGAAGAAUACCAUCAGCAGUACCUUGAAAAAGGUGGCCGAUUUGGCUUUCAACAAUCUGCUGCCAAAGGCUGCAAUGAUCCGAUCCGAUGCUAUGGCUAAUUAGUUUCUCUUAGGGGCAAGCCCCAGCCAGAGUGGAUAUUCUUGUUACGAGUCCUGAGACUUUAUGAAACGCUACUAUAAUAAAGAAUGCCCAGUGUAUUUUUACCUAUUGGACGUGGAUCUGAAACUAGACGUGUUUUCCAACAAUCAUCAACAUUUGCAUCUGCACUGGUGGCAUGUUUUA